GAGGAAUUCAUUAACACAUCCAGCAUUGGUGAAUUUAGGAAAUGUCUUCAACUUCUUUUUGCUUUCCUUGGUCAAUUUGAGACUGCCCUUCUGAUAUGGAAAAUCUGAAGAUCUUGUACAAUGUAUUUGAAUUUUAUGUGCAAUUCUUGCUAACCAUCUUGGAGCACAUAAAAGCUAUUAGAAGAAAUAUUGAGGUAGAGCUAAAAGAACUUCUGAAACUAUAUGGAUGGGAGCGUUCAGAAAGCUUGCUGUCAAUUAAAAACUCAAAAAAGUACCCGGAAUAAGCUCAGGGAUCUUAUAGAGAAGUACAAUGACCAUCUGCAAAAACCUGUAUUGCCUUUUCUUAACCAAUACGCACUACAAAGGGGAACAAAUGCUCAAUUACUAAAUGGUCAAAAGCUGCUUAAUGAAUUUUUAGAAAAAAAAUAUAGGGAUGUGCAAUGCUCCUUUUGAUCUGACAGCAUUUUGUGAUGAAGACAGGUUUUUGCUUUUAUACAUUCCUGGCAUUUUGUGUGCUUAAGUUUUUUUCCAAAUACCUGAUUCUGGAACUUCACCAUCAUUUUUCCUGGUUUAGGUUAUUUUAUGCUGAUUGGA